rnacentral:tRNA from 1 species
GGGGGCAUAGUUCAAAUGGUAGAGCACCUGCAGUAAGUCUGAGGUUCUAGGUUCAAAUCCCAGUACUUCCA